GGAGAGCUGGCAGAACGGCUAUUGCACAAGUCUUGAAAACUGGCGGGCGCAAGCCCUUAGAGGUUCGAAUCCUCUGCUCUCCGCUA
rnacentral:tRNA from 1 species